rnacentral:lncRNA from 10 species
GCCACCCCCAGCCAGCAGUGGCAACGUGCUCAGGUCCCCUUCUACACUGUGGAAGCUUUGUUCUUUUGCUCUUCACAAUAAAUCUUGCUGCUGCUCACUCUUUGGGUCCGUGCCACCUUUAAGAGCUGUAACUCCACAAAGGUCCGUGGCUUCAUUCUUGAAGUCAGCAAGACCAAGAACUCACUGGAAGGAACCAACUCUGGACAAAUCUUGGCAACCACGAAGGGACUAUUGCCAAGCUGCCAAGCAGCACCUGGGCUCACCAAUCAGAAAGACAUAAUUUUUGUGCAAAGCCC